CACGUAGGGUGCGAGCGUUGUUCGGAAUUAUUGGGCGUAAAGGGCGCGUAGGCGGUGCGGUAAGUCACCUGUGAAAUCUCCUGGCUCAACUGGGAGCUUGCAGGCGAUACGGGCAAGCUAGAAUUCGGUAGGGGAGACUGGAAUUCCUGGUGUAGCGGUGAAAUGCGCAGAUAUCAGGAGGAACACCGGUGGCGAAGGCGGGUCUCUGGGCCGAAAUUGACGCUGAGGAGCGAAAGCGUGGGGAGCAAACAGG
rnacentral:rRNA from 1 species